AACGAACGCUGGCGGCGUGCUUAACACAUGCAAGUCGAACGCGAAAGGGACUUCGGUCCUGAGUAAAGUGGCGCACGGGUGAGUAACGCGUGGAUAAUCUACCCGAUGGACCGGGAUAACAUUUCGAAAGGGGUGCUAAUACCGGAUAAGACCACGAGCACUUAGGUGUUUGCGGUAAAAGGUGGGGACCUUCGGGCCUACCGUUAUCGGAUGAGUCCGCGUACCAUUAGCUAGUUGGUGGGGUAAGAGCCUACCAAGGCGACGAUGGUUAGCUGGUCUGAGAGGAUGAUCAGCCACACUGGAACUGAGACACGGUCCAGACUCCUACGGGAGGCAG
rnacentral:rRNA from 1 species